GAUGAACGCUAGCGGGAGGCCUAACACAUGCAAGCCGAGCGGUAUUUGUUCUUCGGAACAGAGAGAGCGGCGCACGGGUGCGGAACACGUGUGCAACCUGCCUUUAUCUGGGGGAUAGCCUUUCGAAAGGAAGAUUAAUACCCCAUAAUAUAUUGAGUGGCAUCACUUGAUAUUGAAAACUCCGGUGGAUAGAGAUGGGCACGCGCAAGAUUAGAUAGUUGGUGAGGUAACGGCUCACCAAGCCAAUGAUCUUUAGGGGGCCUGAGAGGGUGAUCCCCCACACUGGUACUGAGACACGGACCAGACUCCUACGGGAGGCAGCAGUGAGGAAUAUUGGACAAUGGGUUAGCGCCUGAUCCAGCCAUCCCGCGUGAAGGACGACGGCCCUAUGGGUUGUAAACUUCUUUUGUAUAGGGAUAAACCUACUCUCGUGAGAGUAGCUGAAGGUACUAUACGAAUAAGCACCGGCUAACUCCGUG
rnacentral:rRNA from 1 species